UUGCAUUCAUACAUGCACCUUUGUCAAGUCUUAUGUAGAAAAAUCUCAGGUCUGCAGUGAAUGUGUGAAAACAGCUUUCAGGAUAACCUCUGACACAACAGUGAGGGUAAAACCUCACCAAUGUUUCUGACACCUUGUUACUCAGGCGUUCAGUGGGGCUCUAUUGAGCAUCAGAGGCCCAGAGGCAGAAGACUGACAGGAUUAAGGAAGAAAAACAAUAAUCCAACAUGCCUGAGCUUAAGUCUGGAGGUGCUCUCAAUAUGUAGUUAGAUGGAAGAACAGCUGACCCGUGUGGUGGCGGUGGUUGUUGGUUUCAGGAGCCGACAGCAGCUUCUCUACCGUCAACUGAAAGACAAAAUAAAGUGAUGUCAUUUUAGUCAUGAUGUUACUGAGGACCUUUUUCAAGGAUGUAGACGAUCUGAAGCCACUGUGUGAACGCAUGUGGCCAUUUAAUGCUGGCAGGCUCCUGAAGUCCCGCUUACACACCAUACACAGCAGCCUAUGACACACAUAUGGG